UUUACAUAUCAAUUUGCUGUCUUUGUAUUUGGAUCAAAUAAAGCUUGCAAAAAUCGAAAAGGCAAAUUACUUUGUUGGCUUGGGACAAUAAUAGGGAAUGAAUCAUAGUAGUUAAUAGUUAUCAUUUUUUUUUUCCGAUAUAAUUAGGAUAGACGCGGUUGGCCAUUUAUCCCAAGUAUUGCUUCCUGCUUUUCUGAUUUGUCACUUCUUUUCCCAGCUGCCAUGUAACUUUUGGUCUUUGGUUUUUCUUCCUUUUUAGUGAGACCUGUCUUCAUUUAUCUGUGUGCAACUACUUUGUCUAUGUAAUUUUGCUGAUGGAGAUCUUCAACAUCAGUGGUUAUUUGUUUGGAACAAAUAAACACUACAGACUGAAAGCACACAGGAAGAUCACAUGAUGAUAGUUACUGAUGUUGGAUUUAGAACAAAUCUCCUGAACAGAAUAAGGACAAGUAUGAUCGUAGAGUUCUACGAGUUCAGAGUCGAUGAGUAAAAUAGAGGCAAUGUUUGAAGCUAAACUUGAGAGGUUAGGGCUAAACAGCAGUACUUCUACUUUGGAGCGAAGAUUAAUUUGAGAGCUUCCGAACAGUGUUCAUCAAGUUUCUGAAGAUUACAUUUGGGAAAACUCUAAUAUUUUACAGGCCAGUGUUUACAUCAGAGGAAGUCGAGUUUUGGCAGCCAUAACAUCAACAACUAAAACUUGCCUGGUGGCUCCAAAUGAUCACAGAACACUAAGCCUAGAUGCUUUACAAAAGAAUGCACCAACUGUGAAGAACAGACUGCUGCUGUUUGAUUUGUAGCACCAUCGAGGUGGAAGCAGCUUCUCAGGAUUAUGCUCAUGUCAAAGCGUCCUAAAAUCCCCCCUUCUGGCCCAAGCCACAGGACCAACAAGACACCUAAUCCCUCGAGAGAUUACUAAACACUUCUAUUAUUUGUAUACAGAGAGCAGCAUUUCCAACUGAAGUUUGGUUGAAAUUUUUGGCUAACUUCUUCAUGUGUUUCUGAUUUUGUUUGAUGGGUUUGAUUAUUCUUC